GAUGAACGCUGGCGGCGUGCUUAACACAUGCAAGUCGAGCGAGAAGGUUAUGACGGAUUCUUCGGAUGAAGGAAUAGCUGGAAAGCGGCGGACGGGUGAGUAACGCGUGGGGUAACCUGCCUUGUACAGAGGGAUAGCCACUGGAAACGGUGAUUAAUACCUCAUGAAACUUAAUUAUCGCAUGGUGAUUAAGUCAAAACUCAGGUGGUACAAGAUGGACCCGCGUCUGAUUAGCUAGUUGGUGGGUAAAGGCUUACCAAGGCGACGAUCUUUAGCCGACCUGAGAGGGUGAUCGGCCACAUUGGGACUGAGACACGGCCCAAACUCCUACGGGAGGCAGCAGUGGGGAUAUUGCACAAUGGAGGAACUCUGAUGCAGCAACGCCGCGUGAA
rnacentral:rRNA from 1 species